rnacentral:rRNA from 1 species
CAGCUACACAUGCAGUCGAGCGGUAGCACAGAGAGCUUGCUCUCGGGUGACGAGCGGCGGACGGGUGAGUAAUGUCUGGGAAACUGCCUGAUGGAGGGGGAUAACUACUGGAAACGGUAGCUAAUACCGCAUAACGUCGCAAGACCAAAGUGGGGGACCUUCGGGCCUCAUGCCAUCAGAUGUGCCCAGAUGGGAUUAGCUAGUAGGUGGGGUAACGGCUCACCUAGGCGACGAUCCCUAGCUGGUCUGAGAGGAUGACCAGCCACACUGGAACUGAGACACGGUCCAGACUCCUACGGGAGGCAGCAGUGGGGAAUAUUGCACAAUGGGCGCAAGCCUGAUGCAGCCAUGCCGCGUGUGUGAAGAAGGCCUUCGGGUUGUAAAGCACUUUCAGCGGGGAGGAAGGCGGUGAGGUUAAUAACCUCAUCGAUUGACGUUACCCGCAGAAGAAGCACCGGCUAACUCCGUGCCAGCAGCCGCGGUAAUACGGAGGGUGCAAGCGUUAAUCGGAAUUACUGGGCGUAAAGCGCACGCAGGCGGUCUGUCAAGUCGGAUGUGAAAUCCCCGGGCUCAACCUGGGAACUGCAUUCGAAACUGGCAGGCUAGAGUCUUGUAGAGGGGGGUAGAAUUCCAGGUGUAGCGGUGAAAUGCGUAGAGAUCUGGAGGAAUACCGGUGGCGAAGGCGGCCCCCUGGACAAAGACUGACGCUCAGGUGCGAAAGCGUGGGGAGCAAACAGGAUUAGAUACCCUGGUAGUCCACGCCGUAAACGAUGUCGAUUUGGAGGUUGUGCCCUUGAGGCGUGGCUUCCGGAGCUAACGCGUUAAAUCGACCGCCUGGGGAGUACGGCCGCAAGGUUAAAACUCAAAUGAAUUGACGGGGGCCCGCACAAGCGGUGGAGCAUGUGGUUUAAUUCGAUGCAACGCGAAGAACCUUACCUGGUCUUGACAUCCACAGAACUUUCCAGAGAUGGAUUGGUGCCUUCGGGAACUGUGAGACAGGUGCUGCAUGGCUGUCGUCAGCUCGUGUUGUGAAAUGUUGGGUUAAGUCCCGCAACGAGCGCAACCCUUAUCCUUUGUUGCCAGCGGUUAGGCCGGGAACUCAAAGGAGACUGCCAGUGAUAAACUGGAGGAAGGUGGGGAUGACGUCAAGUCAUCAUGGCCCUUACGACCAGGGCUACACACGUGCUACAAUGGCAUAUACAAAGAGAAGCGACCUCGCGAGAGCAAGCGGACCUCAUAAAGUAUGUCGUAGUCCGGAUUGGAGUCUGCAACUCGACUCCAUGAAGUCGGAAUCGCUAGUAAUCGUAGAUCAGAAUGCUACGGUGAAUACGUUCCCGGGCCUUGUACACACCGCCCGUCACACCAUGGGAGUGGGUUGCAAAAGAAGUAGGUAGCUUAACCUCGGAGGCGCUACCAC